rnacentral:rRNA from 1 species
AUUGAACGCUGGCGGCGUGCCUAACACAUGCAAGUCGAACGAACGACCGGAGCUUGCUCUGGAAGUUAGUGGCGCACGGGUGAGUAACACGUGGAUGAUCUACCCAUCAGUUUGGGAUAACAGUUGGAAACGACUGCUAAUACCGGAUACGAUCUUUAUUUCGCAUUAAGGUGAAAGGCGGCCUCUGCUUGCAUGCUGUCGCUGAUGGAUGAGUCCGCGCCUCAUUAGGUAGUUGGUAGGGUAACGGCCUACCAAGCCAACGAUGAGUAGCCGGCCUGAGAGGGUAAUCGGCCACACUGGGACUGGAACACGGCCCAGACUCCUGCGGGAGGCAGCAGUGGGGAAUAUUGCACAAUGGGGGAAACCCUGAUGCAGCGACGCCGCGUGAAGGAAGAAGUAUCUCGGCAUGUAAACUUCUAUCAGCAGGGAAGAAAGCGUGAGCAAUCACGCCUGACGGUACCUGACUAAGAAGCCCCGGCUAAUUACGUGCCAGCAGCCGCAGUAAAAC